UGUAUUCGGAUUGCUCCAUACUGAUUGAGUAAUUGAGGGAUCCGUAAUUGAGAAACGAAACUCUUUUCCAAAUAAUUAAAACCCUAAAAGUUGUUUGCCACUCAAUUCUACGGAUCAAGCCGAGGAGGCGGCAGUGAAGAAUCUCUUUAUCGUGUUUUCAUUGGAGUAAGAUCAAAUCUCGAGUGAUGAAACUAAUCUCAAUCCUAGAGGUUUGCUUUGUUUCUCAACUGCCGUUGUUUGAUCCGGUGGCUGGUAGGAUACUACGGCGGCUUUGUGGUUCAUAUGGUUAUGACAUUCUUCAGUGUCUUCAGUGCCUUGAUUUCUUUGUUGGGUCUCCCCGAUACGAUAUGGUUUUGAAGGAUGGACAAGUUUCACAACCAAAUUUGUCAUCUUAAUCUCAUUUGCGAGUUUCAAGCCAACCCCAUCAGUGACAUUUCCACUACUCAUUAAACAUGAUGAUAGAGGGAUCUUCUUCAAAACAGUGAUUGUACACUUUAUCAGCUACGGGGAUGAAUGCUUCUACUGCUGCUGCCAAUCUAUCUAAAGAGAAGGACCAGAUGUUUGCCUCCUGUAGAUUUUCUGAAGACGAUGUAGGCAAUGCAGCUCUUUGCAUUGCUGCAAACACUGAACGUGAUGGAAGUAUCAAAACAUGUGAUACAAAAUCAUGGAAAUGAAAAGAGUCAAAGCCUAUAAAAAACAAAUCUAUAUUAACCUUUAAUGUCUCAGCUGAUGUGAAGCUGCUUGCGAUGUAAGUUUAUCUUUCUUCUCACUUUUGGGACCAACAGAUAAAAGUGAUAUUAUUUUUUAGUCAUGAUUUUUCUUUAUGCUGAGGAACCCUUGAAGGAGAUGAUGUUAUGUUACUUGACAUACCUUAACAAGUCAGAGAGGUAUCAAACAUACCUCAAAGGUGUAUUCGUCUAAAUCCUCUGCUUCACCAGCUCUGAUAUUGAUUAGGCAUAAAGAAACACUACGGGAACUGUUUAUCUAUAUUUCAUUAGAGUCUAGCCAUUUCAAUCGUAUGAGACUGCUUGCCUUAGUGACUAAAAUAUUGUCACCUUAUUCCUUUUCGUUGUUACUUACAUGUACCUCAAUAUUUUUAAACCAAUAUCACAGCAAGAGUUUUUAGAAUGGCAAUAACUUUUGGUUUAGUUAUCUGGUCUCAUGGGCGUGAAUCCCGGUUUCUUCGCGGGUCACAGGCGAAUAAGGAUAAGAAGAAGACGAGGGGAUAGAAGAAUCAGUAAGAGACAUGUCGAAUGGAUGAGAUUAAGAAGAAAUAGAGAAGAAGGAAGGAAGAGAUAAUGUGUGGUUUUAGUUUUUUUUUUGGGUAAAUAUACCUUUAUCUUAUGUACUUUUUUUUGGUGAGUCUAAGCAUUGUCAUUUUUCCUUUUUUAAGUAACCACCAAUUUGGUUUCUCCA